CGCGGGCCUGGCCUCAAAGAUGGGCUACAUGUGGUGUCCCCCAAUCUCCGACGGAACUCCGGGCGGAUGAGAGACCACGACAAAGCCAGGCGACAGAACUCGGUUCUGUUGGCUCGGCUUCACUGAGCACCCGCGAAGUCCGGUUCUCUGGUGACCACCCAAGACCUCAAAUCCAACAUGCCGGGGAUCAGCAGACGUCCUGCCUCUGUGCGAUUGGGAGGUUGUGCUGUUGGCCGGCUGCAUGGAACUGGAUUCAGAGAGAGGAAGCGUCCAGGGACGGCGCGUCUGAAGGGUGGUGGGGAAACAGGAGGAUGGCUGGUCACCUCUAAGACUCAGACGGGAAUCAGAGAACCCUCAGAACCGCUCAGCUCGUCCGGCCUGAGUCUGUCCACACGAUGACGUGUCCCCUGCCCCUCCACUUUUCCCAGGAUCACUGAAGACAUUAAGCAACGUGGAUCAGAACACAGGCUUGGCAUCAGAGGUUCAGAACUUGCUGGCUGGAUACUUCUUGUACAGCUUGAGCAAAGGUUGUCCCCCUCUCUG